GGUGUGCGCUGCCUUAACAUGCAAGUCGAACGGCAGCGGGUCCUUCGGGACGCCGGCGAGUGGCGAACGGGUGAGUAAUGCAUCGGAACGUACCCAGUAGUGGGGGAUAACUUACCGAAAGGUAAGCUAAUACCGCAUACGCACUGAGGUGGAAAGCAGGGGACCGCAAGGCCUUGCGCUAUUGGAGCGGCCGAUGUCGGAUUAGCUAGUUGGUGGGGUAAAGGCUUACCAAGGCGACGAUCCGUAGCGGGUCUGAGAGGAUGAUCCGCCACACUGGAACUGAGACACGGUCCAGACUCCUACGGGAGGCAGCAGUGGGGAAUUUUGGACAAUGGGCGCAAGCCUGAUCCAGCCAUGCCGCGUGAGUGAAGAAGGCCUUCGGGUUGUAAAGCUCUUUCGGCCGGGAAGAAAUCGUGGUGGCUAAUACCUGCCAUGGAUGACGGUACCGGACUAAGAAGCACCGGCUAACUACGUGCCAGCAGCCGCGGUAAUACGUAGGGUGCGAGCGUUAAUCGGAAUUACUGGGCGUAAAGCGUGCGCAGGCGGUUGUGUAAGACAGGCGUGAAAUCCCCGGGCUCAACCUGGGAACUGCGCUUGUGACUGCACGGCUAGAGUACGGCAGAGGGGGGUGGAAUUCCACGUGUAGCAGUGAAAUGCGUAGAGAUGUGGAGGAACACCGAUGGCGAAGGCAGCCCCCUGGGUCGAUACUGACGCUCAUGCACGAAAGCGUGGGGAGCAAACAGGAUUAGAUACCCUGGUAGUCCACGCCCUAAACGAUGUCGACUAGUUGUUGGAGGGGUAAAACCCUUUAGUAACGUAGCUAACGCGUGAAGUCGACCGCCUGGGGAGUACGGCCGCAAGUUAAAACUCAAAGGAUUGACGGGGACCCGCACAGCGUGAUGAUGUGAUUAUUCGAUGCAACGCGAAAACUUACCUACCUUGAAAUGCC
rnacentral:rRNA from 1 species